GCCGCAAUAGCUCAGCUGGUAGAGCCCAUCAUUCGUAAUGAUGGGGUCAGGGGUUCGAAUCCCUCUUGCGCACCA
rnacentral:tRNA from 1 species